rnacentral:rRNA from 1 species
UACGUAGGGCGCAAGCGUUAUCCGGAAUUAUUGGGCGUAAAGAGCUCGUAGGCGGUUUGUCGCGUCUGCCGUGAAAGUCCGGGGCUCAACUCCGGAUCUGCGGUGGGUACGGGCAGACUAGAGUGAUGUAGGGGAGACUGGAAUUCCUGGUGUAGCGGUGAAAUGCGCAGAUAUCAGGAGGAACACCGAUGGCGAAGGCAGCUCGCUGGGACGGUACUGACGCUGAGACGCGAAAGCUAGGGGAGCGAAUGGG